UACGUAGGGGGCAAGCGUUAUCCGGAAUCACUGGGCGUAAAGGGUGCGUAGGUGGCUUAUCAAGCCAGGGGUGAAAGGCAUUGGCUCAACCAAUGUAAGCCUUUGGAACUGAUAGGCUUGAGUGCAGGAGAGGUAAGUGGAAUUCCUAGUGUAGAGGUGAAAUUCGUAGAUAUUAGGAGGAACACCAGUGGCGAAGGCGACUUACUGGACUGUAACUGACACUGAGGCACGAAAGCGUGGGUAGC
rnacentral:rRNA from 1 species